ACUGCUCAGUAACACGUAGUCAACAUGCCCAGGGGACGUGGAUAACCUCGGGAAACUGAGGAUAAACCGCGAUAAGUCACUACUUCUGGAAUGGGUAAUGACUAAAAUCUACAUGGCCCCUGGAUUGGACUGCGGCCGAUCAGGCUGUUGGUGAGGUAAUGGCCCACCAAACCUGUAACCGGUACGGGCUCUGAGAGGAGGAGCCCGGAGAUGGGCACUGAGACAAGGGCCCAGGCCCUAUGGGGCGCAGCAGGCGCGAAACCUCUGCAAUAGGCGAAAGCCUGACAGGGUUACUCUGAGUGAUUUCCGUUAAGGAGAUCUUUUGGCACCUCUAAAAAUGGUGCAGAAUAAGGGGUGGGCAAGUCUGGUGUCAGCCGCCGCGGUAAUACCAGCACCCCGAGUGGUCGGGACGUUUAUUGGGCCUAAAGCAUCCGUAGCCGGUUCUACAAGUCUUCCGUUAAAUCCACCUGCUUAACAGAUGGGCUGCGGAAGAUACUAUAGAGCUAGGAGGCGGGAGAGGCAAGCGGUACUCGAUGGGUAGGGGUAAAAUCCGUUGAUCCAUUGAAGACCACCAGUGGCGAAGGCGGCUUGCCAGAACGCGCUCGACGGUGAGGGAUGAAAGCUGGGGGAGCAAACCGGAUUAGAUACCCGGGUAGUCCCAGCUGUAAACGAUGCAGACUCGGUGAUGAGUUGGCUUCUUGCCAACUCAGUGCCGCAGGGAAGCCGUUAAGUUUGCCGCCUGGGGAGUACGGUCGCAAGACUGAAACUUAAAGGAAUUGGCGGGGGAGCAC
rnacentral:rRNA from 1 species